ACUACGGGUGGCAGCAGUCGAGAAUCAUUCACCAUGGGGGAACCCCUGAUGGUGCGACGCCGCGUGGGGGAAUGAAGGUCUUCGGAUUGUAAACCCCUGUCAUGUGGGAGCAAAUUAAAAAGAUAGUACCACAAGAGGAAGAGACGGCUAACUCUGUGCCAGCAGCCGCGGUAAUACAGAGGUCUCAAGCGUUGUUCGGAAUCACUGGGCGUAAAGGGUGCGUCGGCUGUUUCGUAAGUCGUGUGUGAAAGGCACGGGCUCAACCCGCGGACGGCAGAUGAUACUGCGAGACUAGAGUAAUGGAGGGGGAACCGGAAGUCUCGGUGUAGCAGUGAAAUGCGUAGAUAGCGAGAGGAACACUGGGGGCGAAGGCGGGUUCCUGGACAUUAACUGACGCUGAGGCACGAAGGCCAGGGGAGCGAAAGGGAUUAGAUACCCGUGUAGUC
rnacentral:rRNA from 1 species